rnacentral:misc_RNA from 1 species
GAUGAAGAACGCAGCGAAAUGCGAUAAGUAAUGUGAAUUGCAGAAUUCAGUGAAUCAUCGAAUCUUUGAACGCACAUGGCGCCUUCCAGUAUCCUGGGAGGCAUGCCUGUCCGAGCGUCGUUUCAACCCUCGAGCCCCCGUGGCCCGGCGUUGGGGAUCUGCCACGGCAGGCCCCUAAACCAGUGGCGGACCCGAAGGCCCUCUCCUUUGCGCAGUAGCAUCAGCCUCGCAUUGGGAUCCCUCGGCGUCCUGCCUCUAAACCCCCCACAAGUCCGCUCCGGCGGCACCAAGGUUGACCUCGGAUCAGGUAGGAAUACCCGCUGAACUUAAGCAUAUCAAUAAGCGGAGGA